rnacentral:rRNA from 1 species
AAAUUGAAGAGUUUGAUCAUGGCUCAGAUUGAACGCUGGCGGCAGGCCUAACACAUGCAAGUCGAACGGUAACAGGAAGAAGCUUGCUUCUUUGCUGACGAGUGGCGGACGGGUGAGUAAUGUCUGGGAAACUGCCUGAUGGAGGGGGAUAACUACUGGAAACGGUAGCUAAUACCGCAUAACGUCGCAAGACCAAAGAGGGGGACCUUCUGGCCUCUUGCCAUCGGAUGUGCCCAGAUGGGAUUAGCUUGUUGGUG